rnacentral:rRNA from 1 species
AUGACCCGCCUCCUACCAGGCAGCAGCCAGGGCCUCAUGUACAAAAGGGCUCCGUCUCUUCUCAACCCAGAGCUAGCUAGGGAAGACGAAGCACAGCAAUACCUGGCAGUGAGUUAUAAUCCAUCCACAAGCAGUAGCAGAAGUGUGUGUAGGCUGAUCAGACUAUACAUACACACACACACCCUUAUAUGUCGGAGGAUCCACGGCACGCGAUGGAGGGGAGGGCGAGGCGGCGCGCCAGCCCGUCCAGGAUGCGCACCAAGGCUAUCAGGGUGGAGCCGGAGCCACCACCGACCAAGAGGCUUGAGCCAGGGACGAGGGCGGUGGUGA